CACGUAGGGCGCAAGCGUUGUCCGGAAUUAUUGGGCGUAAAGAGCUCGUAGGCGGUCUGUCGCGUCGGGAGUGAAAUCCACUGGCUUAACUGGUGGCUUGCUUUCGAUACGGGCAGACUGGAGGUAUGCAGGGGAGAACGGAAUUCCUGGUGUAGCGGUGAAAUGCGCAGAUAUCAGGAGGAACACCGGUGGCGAAGGCGGUUCUCUGGGCAUGUCCUGACGCUGAGGAGCGAAAGUGUGGGGAGCGAACAGG
rnacentral:rRNA from 1 species